CUUUCUCCCCGCCGCAUUCCCGGUGUCGACUUACUAGCUGCAAGCCUCUGCCUGCCUUCCUGCGCGCCGUUCCCCGCUAGUCGCUGCUGCUGGCGCGCACUCGCCGGGUUUUUCCUCCCACGGCCUCGAGAUGGUGGUGAAUGUGGCACGGAGGAGCCGGGCCUUCCAACCCGGUGGGCCCGAGCUCCGAAAGGCCCCCUCGGCAGUGAGAGGGGCGGGAGCCCGCGGGGGCCGCGCCCUUCUCUCGCUUCGGACUGCGCAACGCUGCGCUCUGGGCUGACAGGCGGAUAAAACGGUCCCAUCAAGACUGAGAAAAAGCACACCAGCUAUUGGCACAGCGUGGGCAGUGGGGCCUACAGGAUGACUGACUUAGUCUACAGAGAUCCCGGCGUACUUAAGCAGGUAGUAAUGAUGGACAGAUGAAGACUCUUAAGAUGACAGAAGGUGAUUUUUCUGGUGAUCGAGGACUUCCGGGGUAAUGACAGUGAUGAAAUGCAGGGGACCUGGUAGGUUUCUUUUGGAGACUAACUGGGGGCUGCCUGGUGGGACAGAACAGCAUGUUUCCAAGGGCUGUGGCUGGUCAUAGCCAUGGGAUCUCCAACUGCAUGCAAGAGCAACCUGGAAAGACUUUGACAGCGCAGGUCAGUACAAUACCUGCAAGCUGCCACUCAGCUUUCCUAUAAUGUUUCAGGACCAGGGCUGGAAGCCUUCCAUGUGUCAACUUCAAUGUA
rnacentral:lncRNA from 10 species